rnacentral:rRNA from 1 species
GACGAACGCUGGCGGCGUACUUAACACAUGCAAGUCGAACGGAAAGGCCCUGCUUUUGUGGGGUGCUCGAGUGGCGAACGGGUGAGUAACACGUGAGUAACCUGCCCUUGACUUUGGGAUAACUUCAGGAAACUGGGGCUAAUACCGGAUAGGAGCUCCUGCUGCAUGGUGGGGGUUGGAAAGUUUCGGCGGUUGGGGAUGGACUCGCGGCUUAUCAGCUUGUUGGUGGGGUAGUGGCUUACCAAGGCUUUGACGGGUAGCCGGCCUGAGAGGGUGACCGGCCACAUUGGGACUGAGAUACGGCCCAGACUCCUACGGGAGGCAGCAGUGGGGAAUAUUGCACAAUGGGCGGAAGCCUGAUGCAGCAACGCCGCGUGCGGGAUGACGGCCUUCGGGUUGUAAACCGCUUUCGCCUGUGACGAAGCGUGAGUGACGGUAAUGGGUAAAGAAGCACCGGCUAACUACGUGCCAGCAGCCGCGGUGAUACGUAGGGUGCGAGCGUUGUCCGGAUUUAUUGGGCGUAAAGGGCUCGUAGGUGGUUGAUCGCGUCGGAAGUGUAAUCUUGGGGCUUAACCCUGAGCGUGCUUUCGAUACGGGUUGACUUGAGGAAGGUAGGGGAGAAUGGAAUUCCUGGUGGAGCGGUGGAAUGCGCAGAUAUCAGGAGGAACACCAGUGGCGAAGGCGGUUCUCUGGGCCUUUCCUGACGCUGAGGAGCGAAAGCGUGGGGAGCGAACAGGCUUAGAUACCCUGGUAGUCCACGCUGUAAACGGUGGGUACUAGGUGUGGGGUCCAUUCCACGGGUUCCGUGCCGUAGCUAACGCUUUAAGUACCCCGCCUGGGGAGUACGGCCGCAAGGCUAAAACUCAAAGGAAUUGACGGGGCCCCGCACAAGCGGCGGAGCAUGCGGAUUAAUUCGAUGCAACGCGUAGAACCUUACCUGGGUUUGACAUGGAUCGGGAGUGCUCAGAGAUGGGUGUGCCUCUUUUGGGGUCGGUUCACAGGUGGUGCAUGGCUGUCGUCAGCUCGUGUCGCGAGAUGUUGGGUUAAGUCCCGCAACGAGCGCAACCCUUGUUCACUGUUGCCAGCACGUUAUGGUGGGGACUCAGUGGAGACCGCCGGGGUCAACUCGGAGGAAGGUGGGGGUGACGUCAAGUCAUCAUGCCCCUUAUGUCCAGGGCUUCACGCAUGCUACAAUGGCUGGUACAGAGAGUGGCGAGCCUGUGAGGGUGAGCGAAUCUCGGAAAGCCGGUCUCAGUUCGGAUUGGGGUCUGCAACUCGACCUCAUGAAGUCGGAGUCGCUAGUAAUCGCAGAUCAGCAACGCUGCGGUGAAUACGUUCCCGGG